rnacentral:lncRNA from 1 species
AAAGAACGGGGGAAGUCUGAAGGCAGGGUUUGUUGGGGCUAGGGAAUGGAGAUAAUGAUUGUGGUUAUAAUGAGCUUGAGGUACUCUGGGACACCCACUCAGAGAUGCUCACCAGGAAGUUGGACAUUCCAGAUGGGAACUCAGAAGCUGUCUGGUAGGGAUUCUUCCAGAGAGAUGGCUAGAGGAAGUCAGGGGGAUGGUGAGCUUGCCAAAGAUGGGGAGGGGGCAGAGUAAGACAAGACUGGAAGCUGAAUCCUGGGAGAUCCUCUGUGUUUAGGAAGUUGGAGGAGAGAAAGGAAUCAGAGGAGACUAAAAAGGAGUAGUUGGAAAGUUAGAAGGAAAACAACGGUGGGGAAUAGCCUAGAGAUGAUGGAAGUUUUUCGGGAGGGAACUGGUGUUAAAUCCCGUGGAGUGCUCGGUGAGGAGGACAGAGCAAGUGGCCAGCAGGUUUGGUUAUGUUGAGGUCACAGUCAACUGUAAGAGGUUACAGGGCAGUGGGGAUGUUGCAUGAGGAGUGAAUGGCAAAGAACUAGAGGUGAUUAGGGUGAUUCUCAUUCAUAAAGUUUGUCCCGGAGAAAGAAGAAAGAAGGAGAGCCAAGAUGGACAAGAUAUAGAAGAUGCUCAAUGGAGAAAAUGCUGAGAAGAUGCAGGAGAGAUCGGGUCCUUGGAGCUGAGCCGGCAGGGAGGAAAAAUAUGAGGAGAGGCUGUAAGGGGAGAGGGAACCCUCCUCUCCCCCCAUGAAAGCUGAGAGGCAGGAGGGCAGCUCCCUGAGCCCGCUGCGGGGACAGCAGACAGAUUGGGAAAAACGUAACCUCUCCGAGACGCAUGCUCCAGUCCGAGAAGGAGGCAUUAAGGAUGAAAUAUCUCCUGAGCAACAAUUCAUCUCUAACUGGGAGGAGAGGGACUCGCUGACAUUUAGCUGUGAUCAGGGGCUGCACAUGCCUGUCUCCAGAAGCCUAACAGGAGCGUGGCUGCCUGUGUGUGUGAGAGACUCUGUGUGUGUGUGUGUGUGUGUGUGUGUAUGUGUGACAGAGCGUGAGGAACUGUGCAACUGUAGUGAAGCAGUGGGUAUAUGGGUGACGUGGUGUUGAAGGAACUGUGUGUGUAAUAGGAUAUGAGCCUGUCUGUAUGUGUGAUAGUUCAUGUGUGGGAAUCUGGUGUGAUUGUGAACACUCGGUAAGUAUGUAUCAAAGUCUUGUCUAUAAUAGGGUGUUGGAGCCAAUGUGGGCCUGUGUGUAAUGUUGAAUGUGUGUGGGUAACUGUGCAAGUGGAUGCUAGGAUAGUGUACGAUACUGUCUUGUAACAGUGAGAUUGACCCUGAAAUUGGCCUUGAGACACAUGAGAUUGGGGAUGAGAUAGGAGAUGUGAAAGUGACCCCCAGUCUAGGCUAGAUCUCAGGGUGCUGCACGCCCAUGAGGUGACUUUGUGAGAAUUCGAAAAAGGUUCCCCUUCCUCUACGAAGACACAGCCCCCCAGGUGUGCUCUCAUGGAACUUCCUAGUGCAGGGCACAAUCUGCAUAACCUGAAGUGGAGGCCCUGGGUGGGCCCCCUACUCUCUUGUCUUGUAGUCCAGCAGAAUUUUCUGCAUCAUGGCACUUAUUAU